GACGAACGCUGGCGGCGUGCUUAACACAUGCAAGUCGAACGAUGAAGCCGGAGCUUGCUCUGGUGAAUUAGUGGCGAACGGGUGAGUAACACGUGAGUAACCUGCCCUUGACUCUGGGAUAACUGCUAGAAAUGGUAGCUAAUACCGGAUACGACCCUCGGAGGCAUCUCCAGGGGGUGGAAAGAAUUUCGGUCAAGGAUGGACUCGCGGCCUAUCAGCUAGUUGGUGAGGUAAUGGCUCACCAAGGCAACGACGGGUAGCCGGCCUGAGAGGGCGACCGGCCACACUGGGACUGAGACACGGCCCAGACUCCUACGGGAGGCAGCAGUGGGGAAUAUUGCACAAUGGGCGCAAGCCUGAUGCAGCAACGCCGCGUGAGGGAUGACGGCCUUCGGGUUGUAAACCUCUUUUAGCAGGGAAGAAGCGAAAGUGACGGUACCUGCAGAAAAAGCACCGGCUAACUACGUGCCAGCCGCCGCAGUAA
rnacentral:rRNA from 1 species